rnacentral:lncRNA from 1 species
GAUGUCAACCCCGGGACCUGAAAAUGCCAUGGUCUCACCCUGACCUCUCAGGACUAAUUAAUGUCCAUACAUUGCUCUUUAAAAAAGUAAACUGCUAUAUAAGUCAGUAGUAAGUCAGCUAUUUAAACUCAACAUGCGGAAUGCUUUCCAUGGUACAAUGCCUCUUUUUUUAAGACAAUUGAGAUAACACAUACAAACCGAAGUGCAAAUUAUAAGUCACAUGGAAUGUCUUUGUAGUGGCCAGAGCAGAGGUGUAUCUGGAGAGACAAACCAAGGCUUCUCAGGGCAAGAACAGAAGAGAAGACCGAAUGCUGCACCUGUCCAGGAGGUCCACGACACAAGAUUCCUCCUUCCCACUCCUCCACGCCAGGCAAACAAGCCACAAGUCUAUGUUGUAAGCACAACUGGAGACUGUUUUCUUUAAAAAAAAAAAAAACAAUUUUAUUUUUGAUAAAGCCGAACACAGCAUUCAAAGGGAUGUAAUGGUCAGCCCCCGCUGGGGCCAGAUCCCAAGUCCAUGGAAAGUGGACUGACUUCCACUGAUGUCAGUGGACAUUGAAUCAGGCCCCUCUGUGUUGUUUCAGGGCUAACAUAGAUGGUUAGAAAGAGGGAAUAAUGCAGCCCACACCUGCUGUCUAGAAUAUAUUCAUAUCCAAACAAACGCAUUCCUUGCAAAAUGGGCACUGGCAACUCAUCCCAGGAUUAUAGAUCCCAGUCUAGCAAAGCACUCAUGUACCUACUUAGCCAAUCUGUUCAUUAUCUGCUUAUUCAAUGAGACUAUUCAUAGGCUUAACGUUAAGCAUAUGCCUAAGGAAUUUGCUCAGUCAGGAACAAAGAACUCGCAACUGAGAAAAUAACUGAAUAGCUGCCCAACAGUGAGAGCUUGUGAGCUCCUAUCUGGCCUUUAAUUGCUAGCAGCAGUGGGUGUACAUCAGAAGUAGGUGAUAUAUGCACAAGAAAAGGUGAAAAUGCUCUCAACCUUUUAGUGCUUCUCUCAUUUUGCUGAAGAACGGAGCCCAUUUCACAGAAAAGUUUGCCAGGUUUCAAAGUUUUCACAGGAAAACGGACCCUUUCAAAAUUCAAAAAGUCUAACAUAGAAAUCUUAAGCUUUUGAUGCAGAGAUAGUAAUUUCUUUAAAUUUUGCGGGAAAGAAAAAUGUAAUGGGUGUGAAAUCACUAGAAACAAAUACAAAUAUACCUUGUGCAAAAAUUGCUACCAGUUUUGCUUAGCUCUAAUAUACUUCAAUACAUUUUGGAGAUCUUUCCUCUUUGAUGAUGGGUGUCCAACUCCCAUUAAUGCUAACAGGGGACUUGCAUGUGCAUAUCAUGGAAGAAUAGGCCUCAGAGAGUAAAAGAUUAUCAUCACAUAUUUUGAUAUGCUAUU